GUGAAUCAUCGAAUCUUUGAACGCAAAUUGCACUCUCUGGUAUUCCGGCGAGCAUGCCUGUUUGAGGGUCAUUUCAAGUAAAAAUCGGUGUGGUUGCUGCCUUUAGUGGUGACGCCCCGGAUUUGGGUCGAACUGCCUUCGGUUAAGUGUCCUAACCUUUUGCAUGAUUUUUUUCGAACGUAUUUAAAUGAUUUUACGUACGUUUGCGAUAUAGAAUCCUCGGUGUGGUCAUCCUCAUGAUUGGCGCCUAUAAUAUUCCAUC
rnacentral:misc_RNA from 1 species